rnacentral:rRNA from 1 species
UACAGAGACUGCGAGCGUUAUUCUGAUUCACUGGGCGUAAAGGGUGCGCAGGCGGCCAAGUGUGUGAGGCGUGAAAGCCUGGGGCUUAACUCCAGAAUUGCACCUCAAACUACAUGGCUAGAGCAUUGGAGAGGGUAGCAGAAUUCACGGUGUAGCAGUGAAAUGCGUAGAUAUCGUGAGGAAUACCAGAGGCGAAGGCGGCUACCUGGACAAUUGCUGACGCUCAGGCACGAAAGCGUGGGGAGCAAAAGGG